GCCGGCCCGCGUCCAUCUGGGCCGGCCCGCGAUGGGCAUUUAAAUUUAUGAGACCGCGGCGGGCCGGCCCGCUAGGACCGCGGGCAAAAAUAAUAUGUCCAGGCCCGCCCCGCUAAGCCCAACGGGUUAGCGGGCCGGCCAGCGGGCUUAGUUUUAAAUAUUUUAAAAAUAAUUAAAAAAAUAAAAUUAAUUUUUAAAAUUUGAAAUUAACAAUUUUUCAAUAAAAAAA
rnacentral:lncRNA from 1 species